rnacentral:piRNA from 1 species
UCUUAUAUCAAGACACCUUGGGUGAACCAGC